GAGUUUGAUCGUGGCUCAGGAUGAACGCUGGCGGCGUGCUUAACACAUGCAAGUCGAACGAAGCACUUUACUUGAUUUCCUUCGGGAAUGAUUGUUCUGUGACUGAGUGGCGGACGGGUGAGUAACGCGUGGAUAACCUGCCUCACACAGGGGGAUAACAGUUGGAAACGGCUGCUAAUACCGCAUAAGCGCACAGCACCGCAUGGUGCAGUGUGAAAAACUCCGGUGGUAUAAGAUGGACCCGCGUUGGAUUAGCUUGUUGGUGGGGUAACGGCUCACCAAGGCGACGAUCCAUAGCCGGCCUGAGAGGGUGAACGGCCACAUUGGGACUGAGACACGGCCCAGACUCCUACGGGAGGCAGC
rnacentral:rRNA from 1 species